GAAUAUUGCACAAUGGAGGGAACUCUGAUGCAGCAACGCCGCGUGAGUGAAGAAGGUUUUCGGAACGUAAAACUCUGUCAUUGGGGAAGAAUAAAUGACGGUACCCAAUGCGGAAGCCCCGGCUAACUACGUGCCAGCAGCCGCGGUAAUACGUAGGGGGCGAGCGUUGUCCGGAAUUACUGGGCGUAAAGGGUACGUAGGCGGCCUUUUAAGUCAGAUGUGAAAGAUCACGGCUCAACCGUGGUAAGCAUUUGAAACUGGAGGGCUUGAGUAUCGGAGAGGGUAGUGGAAUUCCCAGUGUAGCGGUGGAAUGCGUAGAUAUUGGGAGGAACACCAGUGGCGAAGUCGACUACCUGGACGAAAACUGACGCUGAGGCACGAAAGCUAGGGGAGCAAACA
rnacentral:rRNA from 1 species